CCUACGGGAGGCAGCAGUGGGGAAUAUUGCACAAUGGGGGAAACCCUGAUGCAGCGACGCCGCGUGAGUGAAGAAGUCAUUCGUUACGUAAAGCUCUAUCAGCAGGGAAGAAAAUGACGGUACCUGAGUAAGAAGCCCCGGCUAACUACGUGCCAGCAGCCGCGGUACUACGUAGGGGGCAAGCGUUAUCCGGAUUUAUUGGGUUUAAGGGGUGCGUAGGCGGACUGUUAAGUCAGCGGUAAAAGCCCGGGGCUCAACCCCGGCGAGCCGUUGAAACUGGCUGGCUUGAGAUGGCGAGAGGUAUGCGGAAUGCGCAGUGUAGCGGUGAAAUGCUUAGAUAUUGCGCAGAACUCCGAUUGCGAAGGCAGCAUACCGGCGGCGAUCUGACGCUGAGGCACGAAAGCGUGGGUAUCGAACAGGAUUAGAUACCCUUGUAGUC
rnacentral:rRNA from 1 species